rnacentral:rRNA from 1 species
GUUAAGCGACUAAGCGUACACGGUGGAUGCCCUGGCAGUCAGAGGCGAUGAAGGACGUGCUAAUCUGCGAUAAGCGUCGGUGAGGUGAUAUGAACCGUUAUAACCGGCGAUUUCCGAAUGGGGAAACCCAGUGUGUUUCGACACACUAUCAUUAACUGAAUCCAUAGGUUAAUGAGGCGAACCGGGGGAACUGAAACAUCUAAGUACCCCGAGGAAAAGAAAUCAACCGAGAUUCCCCCAGUAGCGGCGAGCGAACGGGGAGGAGCCCAGAGCCUGAAUCAGUGUGUGUGUUAGUGGAAGCGUCUGGAAAGGCGUGCGAUACAGGGUGACAGCCCCGUACACAAAAAUGCACAUAUUGUGAGCUCGAUGAGUAGGGCGGGACACGUGGUAUCCUGUCUGAAUAUGGGGGGACCAUCCUCCAAGGCUAAAUACUCCUGACUGACCGAUAGUGAACCAGUACCGUGAGGGAAAGGCGAAAAGAACCCCGGCGAGGGGAGUGAAAAAGAACCUGAAACCGUGUACGUACAAGCAGUGGGAGCCUCUUAAUGGGGUGACUGCGUACCUUUUGUAUAAUGGGUCAGCGACUUAUAUUCUGUAGCAAGGUUAACCGAAUAGGGGAGCCGAAGGGAAACCGAGUCUUAACUGGGCGUUAAGUUGCAGGGUAUAGACCCGAAACCCGGUGAUCUAGCCAUGGGCAGGUUGAAGGUUGGGUAACACUAACUGGAGGACCGAACCGACUAAUGUUGAAAAAUUAGCGGAUGACUUGUGGCUGGGGGUGAAAGGCCAAUCAAACCGGGAGAUAGCUGGUUCUCCCCGAAAGCUAUUUAGGUAGCGCCUCGUGAAUUCAUCUCCGGGGGUAGAGCACUGUUUCGGCAAGGGGGUCAUCCCGACUUACCAACCCGAUGCAAACUGCGAAUACCGGAGAAUGUUAUCACGGGAGACACACGGCGGGUGCUAACGUCCGUCGUGAAGAGGGAAACAACCCAGACCGCCAGCUAAGGUCCCAAAGUCAUGGUUAAGUGGGAAACGAUGUGGGAAGGCCCAGACAGCCAGGAUGUUGGCUUAGAAGCAGCCAUCAUUUAAAGAAAGCGUAAUAGCUCACUGGUCGAGUCGGCCUGCGCGGAAGAUGUAACGGGGCUAAACCAUGCACCGAAGCUGCGGCAGCGACGCUUAUGCGUUGUUGGGUAGGGGAGCGUUCUGUAAGCCUGUGAAGGUGGCCUGUGAGGGUUGCUGGAGGUAUCAGAAGUGCGAAUGCUGACAUAAGUAACGAUAAAGCGGGUGAAAAGCCCGCUCGCCGGAAGACCAAGGGUUCCUGUCCAACGUUAAUCGGGGCAGGGUGAGUCGACCCCUAAGGCGAGGCCGAAAGGCGUAGUCGAUGGGAAACAGGUUAAUAUUCCUGUACUUGGUGUUACUGCGAAGGGGGGACGGAGAAGGCUAUGUUGGCCGGGCGACGGUUGUCCCGGUUUAAGCGUGUAGGCUGGUUUUCCAGGCAAAUCCGGAAAACCAAGGCUGAGGCGUGAUGACGAGGCACUACGGUGCUGAAGCGACAAAUGCCCUGCUUCCAGGAAAAGCCUCUAAGCAUCAGGUAACAUCAAAUCGUACCCCAAACCGACACAGGUGGUCAGGUAGAGAAUACCAAGGCGCUUGAGAGAACUCGGGUGAAGGAACUAGGCAAAAUGGUGCCGUAACUUCGGGAGAAGGCACGCUGAUAUGUAGGUGAAGCGACUUGCUCGUGGAGCUGAAAUCAGUCGAAGAUACCAGCUGGCUGCAACUGUUUAUUAAAAACACAGCACUGUGCAAACACGAAAGUGGACGUAUACGGUGUGACGCCUGCCCGGUGCCGGAAGGUUAAUUGAUGGGGUUAGCGGUAACGCGAAGCUCUUGAUCGAAGCCCCGGUAAACGGCGGCCGUAACUAUAACGGUCCUAAGGUAGCGAAAUUCCUUGUCGGGUAAGUUCCGACCUGCACGAAUGGCGUAAUGAUGGCCAGGCUGUCUCCACCCGAGACUCAGUGAAAUUGAACUCGCUGUGAAGAUGCAGUGUACCCGCGGCAAGACGGAAAGACCCCGUGAACCUUUACUAUAGCUUGACACUGAACAUUGAGCCUUGAUGUGUAGGAUAGGUGGGAGGCUUUGAAGUGUGGACGCCAGUCUGCAUGGAGCCGACCUUGAAAUACCACCCUUUAAUGUUUGAUGUUCUAACGUUGGCCCGUAAUCCGGGUUGCGGACAGUGUCUGGUGGGUAGUUUGACUGGGGCGGUCUCCUCCUAAAGAGUAACGGAGGAGCACGAAGGUUGGCUAAUCCUGGUCGGACAUCAGGAGGUUAGUGCAAUGGCAUAAGCCAGCUUGACUGCGAGCGUGACGGCGCGAGCAGGUGCGAAAGCAGGUCAUAGUGAUCCGGUGGUUCUGAAUGGAAGGGCCAUCGCUCAACGGAUAAAAGGUACUCCGGGGAUAACAGGCUGAUACCGCCCAAGAGUUCAUAUCGACGGCGGUGUUUGGCACCUCGAUGUCGGCUCAUCACAUCCUGGGGCUGAAGUAGGUCCCAAGGGUAUGGCUGUUCGCCAUUUAAAGUGGUACGCGAGCUGGGUUUAGAACGUCGUGAGACAGUUCGGUCCCUAUCUGCCGUGGGCGCUGGAGAACUGAGGGGGGCUGCUCCUAGUACGAGAGGACCGGAGUGGACGCAUCACUGGUGUUCGGGUUGUCAUGCCAAUGGCACUGCCCGGUAGCUAAAUGCGGAAGAGAUAAGUGCUGAAAGCAUCUAAGCACGAAACUUGCCCCGAGAUGAGUUCUCCCUGAGACUUAGAGUCUCCUGAAGGAACGUUGAAGACGACGACGUUGAUAGGCCGGGUGUGUAAGCGCAGCGAUGCGUUGAGCUAACCGGUACUAAUGAACCGUGAGGCUUAACCUU